rnacentral:rRNA from 1 species
UACGUAGGGGGCAAGCGUUGUCCGGAAUUAUUGGGCGUAAAGAGCGUGUAGGCGGCCCGGUAAGUCCGCUGUGAAAGUCCAGGGCUCAACCCUGGGAUGCCGGUGGAUACUGUCGGGCUCGAGUCCGGAAGAGGCGAGUGGAAUUCCUGGUGUAGCGGUGAAAUGCGCAGAUAUCAGGAGGAACACCAAUGGCGAAGGCAGCUCGCUGGGACGGUACUGACGCUGAGACGCGAAAGCGUGGGGAGCAAACAGG